CUGGAGCUGGGGAGCCGAAGGGGACAGGAUUGGUGCACACGUAAGGCCCUGUGUCCUGGGGACAUCGCUUGACUCGGCGCAGCACUCUCGGCCAGGAGGUCUUGUUUAUGCAGUCCAGCCUGGGCUCAAACGCAAGGUGAUCCUCCUGCCUCAGCCUCCUGUGUGCUGGGAUUACAGGUGUGCACCGCUGGACCCGGCAGGACCCCCUAUCUAAUGAGGCUACAGCAUGAAAGCUACAGCCAGAAGAGAGCGCCAUGGGCACAGCGCAGGCGAGCCCCGCAGCACGCGCAAGUCUGCAUAGGGAGCUUCUAAAAAAAAGAGGUAAGAAGAGAGGAAAGGGGAAAAGCAGAAGAUAAAGAGGAAGGGCAACUGAGGGCAAGGACGUGAAAGAUAGAAACAAGGAGGCCAGGGGCUGUGAUCCAAGGACGCGGUCCCAGAGAGGGGAAAGAGGAAACGCUUGUCCUGGCUUCCAUUUACACAGCAGCUUCCUCCGGUGCAGGGGUUUUAUGAAUCCCACAUCGUGGCCAGCAAACGGAGGCUCACAGAUGUUGCAUGGUUUGUCCAAGGGCUCUGUUCUUGGUGGAGGUGGGCUUCGGACUCCGAAGCUGUGGUCUGUCCCUGUCUACGACGGCUCUAGGGGAAGCUGGGGCUGAGGAUCCCCCAAGAACCUGGGGGCUGCUUUCCCCAGAGCAGAGGCUGUGGCUUCUCGGAGGAUUUGCUGAAGGGUGGAAGACCCGGGAUUUUGCGGCUAAUCCUUCUGCAUCCAGUUACUGCGCAGUUAGGGAGAGGACACUGCCUAUUACUGGGUGUGUGGGUGUCUGGGAGGGACAGGGGGCCAUCAGUGUCCACCGUGGGGAAGGCAGGGUCAAGGAUGUAGAUGAGGGACAGAACAGAGCCUGAGAAGAGAUCCAGGGAGCUAGGAAGGGGCCAGAAAGCCAUUGGAAGCAGGGUCUGGAACUUGGUACUCCCUUCUCCCGGAGACAUGGGUGUGGGGAGGAGGGAGGAGGGAGGACAUUUCUAUCUCGUGACAAAAGAAAGUCACACAAUUGUUUUGUUUUCUAUUCUGGGGCGGGUGGGCGCUUGUAUUUACCAGAGGGACUGAGGUCGCUGUGGCAACCACACAUCUGGGCCCCGGAAUCCAGAUGUGCUGUAUCGAGGAGCCAUAGCAGAACGAUGAGGCAAAUGCUAGGUUCCCCAGUCCUGGCCCCCACUGCUGGGGCGAGAACAGAGCACUGGGAUGGGAAAGUGCGGGGGGUGAGGGGUGGCUGGAGCGGGGAGGAGAAAGGAUGGAGGGGACAAGGACAUGGACGAGGAGAAAGGGACCCAAGGGGAGUGGGCAUGAGAGGGAGGAGGUUACACGGGGUCAGCGGCAGGAGAAGGCCUGGGAGCCCAGGAAUGGGGGGACACAAAGGAGAGGCGGGAGACAGCAGCCAGGGGUAUGGGAUCCAAAGGUGGUGGCGACAUGGUGGGGCAGAGGGCAUAGUCUGGGGAAGUCUGGAGACGAGGACCAGGGAGGGGAUGCCAGGGGACAGAGGUGGUAGCCUGAGGAAAGCAGAACCGAGACAGGCUUCUAGGACAAGACAGCCAGCGAGGAACAGGAGGUGGCCUUAGUCAGAGGGACGGAGACCCGCCUAGGCCUGACCACGGCACAAGAGCCACCUUCUAGAGGGCUCCAACUCUCUGUCCCUCUGCAAUGCCACUGAUGGUUCAUACCAGCAUCUGGGCCACUUGGCAGAGGCGCGUCUGCACCACCCGAGCCCCGAAGGAGACACCAGCAGCUCAUACAGACACGGGACAGGGAGGCAGGCUGGACUCGGUCAGGCGAAGGGACUGCAGACUGGCUGGGGUCAGCCUCUCCCCUCACCCUCGGUGGGGGUGGGGGUGAGGGAGCCUCUGGUAUUUACGGAAAGGCAGGGUGGGAGCCAGCUCAGGGGAGCUGCCCUAGGUCCCACUGCCCCCAGGUCUGGCUUUGCAGCGGGACAGGCGGGAAAGGCCUGCGGGAUCCCGGGACAGGAAGCUGGGCGAGGUCCAGGGCUGUCCUCUGGAGGGAAGUGAGGUCCAAGUUCCUGGGAGCCCCAGUUCCAAGUUCCCAUAGUUACCGGCUGUUUUCCCCCCAAACACAGCACGGGGCGGGUGGUGCCGCGCAGGGGAGAGCCUGGCCGGACACGUGAGGCUUCCUCCCUCCUGUGAGCCUGGGCUGCCGGCCCGGGCGGCCCCUGUCCAGUCAUCCGGGCCCACAGCCCAGGCCCUGCUCACACCCUGCGCUGACCCAGGCCACUCCUGCAGGUCAGGCUCGAGGUGCUGCUGGCGGGGAUCCCCCAUCAGGCUUGGGCACAGCCCUGCUGUCUUCCCAUGUGGAAUGCAGUCAGCUCCACCUGGGCCUCCUAAUGCUGUGGGUCAGGUACCUGAGCCCCGGUGAGGGUGUGUGGACGCCCACAACUUGGCCCAGCCCCCGAGAACUGCUCACCCUGGAAGCAGGGGAAGCAGGGACAACUUUCUGGGGAGCCCAGGAUGGGUGGGAGCUGUACACCCUCGAGGGUGGGGCACCAUCCUUCCUGUUUACUCAGAUACAUUCUGGGAUCUGUGGCCCCUGGUGUCCUGCCACACAGGGACGCACUGCUAGACAGACAGACAGACAUGCCCAGGAGGCCUGCGAUCCCACCUCACCCUGCCCCAUGCCAGCUGUCUCCAGCGCUUGGUUCUUCCACACUGGCCCUGUGAAGUCACAAGCCAGCAGGAGGCACUGCCACCACCCAGACUCCUUCCAGGUGGGUUACUGGGCAGUAAAAACCAGGCACACACGCAGCACUGUCUCCCCUCCACUACCCCUUUAUUCCCACUACCUCACAAUGUAAACCCCCCUAGUCCCGCCUGGGGACCAACAGCCUGGCACAGCGCCCCAGGGGAACAAAAGAACAGAGCGUAUGGGAGCCCCCACCCUAAAACUGAGGCUCACUCCGGACCCUCAGAGGAAGCAGGGACCGGGGUUCCAUAGCAAUGAGGAGCCCUAUAUCCCCAGAAGGGGAGGAAGGAGGGGUAAACCACCUGACCCCACUAAGUGCUCAGCCCCAAACCCUGUCUUUCCUCUACCAGCUGCCCCGAAUCCACACCAGGGCCUGGGAAACCCGCAAAGCGACGAGGCUCCCGCACCCAGCCGCCUCAGGCAGCCAGUGCAGGGGUCAGGGGUGGCGGAGGUAGAAGGCCCGGUGGGGGCCCUGGUGAGCCUGGCUGGUGGUGGCGUUGCCCUGGGCUGGGGCUGGCGGCUUCCGCAGCGAGGGGGGCACCGUGGAGGUCUUGAUGUGAAUCACUCGGGUGUCCAUGACCUCACACUCAAUCUGCAUCAUCUCCUCAUAGUCCCCUGGGGCGCCCCGGCCAGACAGGGUCUCUGAGGAGGAGGAGAGGCAGAGCAGGGUAUGGGCCAGGAAGGAGAGGAGGUGUGAGGGGAGGGGGAGUAGGGCAGGGAUGCAGUGCCGUGGGGGGAGAGGGGCGGGAAAAGAAAGUAACAGGAUGAGCUUGGCAGGGGCCACACAGGCAGGACCCCAGAGGAGGGCAGAGGGCAGGUCCAGCAGCCUUAGGUCACCCCCUGCCUGGCCACUGCCCUGAUGAGCCACGCCCUCGCCCUCCUGGCGUGGUCUCUGCCACUGUGUGCUCUCUCUACCCUUGCUGCCAUCUCUCUGGACACCCCAUCGCCCGCCCUGGCAGCCCAUCCUCUCCCCUGGCCAUGGGGACUGCAGUACCGUUGGGGGCCAUGGCAGGCAUCACCAGUGACAUCUUGGGCCGUGAGGUCUUGUUGUGGCUGAUGGCCGGAAGCAGCAGAUGGUCCUGGGAGGGGCGGCCGAGGAAGAGGGAAAGGUGUAAGGUACUCACCCCUCUCUGAUCUCCAGCCCCUCUCUUGAGGACAGGCUGUGGUGUGGGCGGGGAGGAGCUCACCCUCCGGAAAGAGACCACAUAAAACGUGUCUUCCCGCCGGUCAAUGGCAUCCAGGAACUCUGGCUGGGACCGAUCUGGGCGUCGGUAGAGCUGCAGCUGGCCCACAGGGUCCCUAGGUAGGGGAUCCGGUCCAGGAGUGAGCCCUGCACCCUCUUCCCUCUGGCCAGAGACCUCGGCAGUGAGGUGAUCACAAUCCUGCUGGGGACAAGGCUGGCGAGCACAGACCUGCGGGGUGGACUCCUGCUUGAUCAGCUGCACCUCCCCGUCCUCACCUUUCGGGGGGCCCCGGAGGCUGGCUGGGGACUGCCUUCACUGCGAGCAGCUUCCUGCGUGGUUGAGACUUCUGGAAGGAGAGGCACUUCAGGAUGGGCAGAGGGUGAGGGAGAAGGGAAAGGGACAGCCUGGUGGCUGACACCUCCCUGCUGCUUCCCCCCAGUUCCUAAAAUCUUGUCCUAGAGGUGAGGCUACGCAAUGGCCUGGGGACACCAGCCCUGUCAGAGCAGACCCUGCCCACCUGUCUCUCCUGGGCCCUCUGCGGGCUCCUCCGACGGCCUCUCUGGUGGCGCUGUACCCAGCCGCUCAGCUCAUCAGCCAGCCUGCGGAGCAGAGGGGUCGUCGGCAGUCCAGGCUGGGCCCGGGCACCCACUUCCCAGGCAUGAACCAGAGAGGGUGGAGGUCAGCACUCAGGAGGCGACGCCCGCACCUCAGGGAUUCGGUCCGGUUGAAGUGCCGGCAGUCAGAGGAGAGGAAGAGCUGGUCCAGGUCCCGCAGCAGCAGCUCCUUGGCAGCGCCAGGGAAGGCUGUCAAGUUCCUGGAGCAAGGAAGACAGUACCAUGUGAGGAUGCCCCAUAGUUGGCACUCCCUCUGUGCAGAAGCUGCCCCCUCCUCACCUGAAGCUGGGCCGGGCCACCUGGCUGGGCUGUGGCUCCUUGGGGCCCUGGGGGGACCCCUGCAGGGGCUCCAUCCCCUGAGCCGGUGGCUGCUCUGAGAACUCCAGCAGGUGCCUCUGAGCCCGGGGUGCCUGACCCCCCAUCUGCGAGGCAGGUGCUGGCGGUGGCUCACUGAUGCUGCAUGAGGGAGGGACAGUGGUGAGCAGCCGCCAGCUCUCAACAGAGCACCCUGCAGUCAGGCUGCCUGGGUGACACUGCUGUGCAAGACCUGGUCUUUCCCUCCAUGACCGGGGGAUGGUUCCCACCACACAGGUCCAGAAACAAGAAAAGGACAGCACUUAACCUGCAGCCUCAGUUCAGCAAGCUGAUACCACCGCCACUAGUGCCCCCACCACGCCCCCAAUGAACAGCUGAGCCCAGGCCCUGUGGGAUGCCCAACAUUGGGGUGCUGAGAAUGUGGAGUUGUCUGGGUGUUGGCGGGGGGAUGCCGACGGAGCCAGCGCAGACAGGCAGCCCCAGGCGGUUGGAGCUCACCUGACAGGUCCGAAGUUGAAGGCAAUGAAGAGGAGGAAGACCACGAUGCAGACCACCUUCCUGUUCCCAGAGCCCAGCUUGAGUUCACUGUUCUGCAGUGACAGCACAGGAAGAGAAUGGGAGGCAGGAGUCACCCCCAAGCAGCACCCUGCCCACCCCACAGCCCCGCAGGCUGACCUCGGCCAGCAGGGCCUCCAGCCGCCGCCGGAGGGCAGCGUUCUCCCGGCGCAGCUGCUGGUUGUCGGCCAGCACGGCCUGCAGCCGCGCCUCCAGCCCCUGCAGGUACUCCUUCUUCUUCCGCCGGGACUGGCAGGCCGACUCCCGGUUCUUGAUCAUCCGCUGCUGCCGCUUCAGCAGCUUUGCCUGGGUACCAGGGGCCACGGAGUAAGCAGAGGCGAGGCGGCAAGGGAUCGCCUUGUGGUGCCCCGGGGCUGAUGACUGUGCCCUCCAGCCUAUCUAACCCAAGGCAGCGGGGUGCUGGUGGUGGUGGUGGAAUAUCACCCCACGCAGGCUCCCACCCUGGGAGGAGGGUGAAGCAGCUGCCCUCCUCCCCCCUGCUUUCCAGUCCCGUCUCACCUAAUGAAGGGUGGUCUACCUCCCCUCGGAAGCCAACCCUCUGCUACCGCAACCCUAACUUAGUGGGACCGCCGUACCUCUGGUUUCCCGAGGGCACUUCCCUGCCUCUGCCAUCCAUGAGAGCUAACCGAAGGACCCAGAACCCACUGCAGGCCCCACCUCUGCUCCUUGUCUCAGCUCCCUCCAGCCCUCAACUGUCUCCAGAGCGACUUCCUCUCCCUCCCCAGGCCACUGCCCUGCACCUCUGGACUCACAUCCACCUCGGGCGGGCAGGAAUUCCCAGGUGUGGGUGCUGGCACGAUGCUCUUCCUCUCGGGUCGUGCCGUGGUGGGCGCCUGCCCAUCAGGCUGGACUCGGAUAGCACCUUGGAUGAGGACGACCGGGGACACUAAGGACCAGAGAGCUGUGAGUCAGGCAGGGCGGAAAGUCUGGAGAGCGUGGGCUCCCACAUGGGUACCCGGCACCCGCGCCUUCCUACCCGCGGGCGGCUGCACAAGUGGCUGCAGGAGGACAGCGGUGCUGGCAGGCGUGGCUCUGGGCGGCAUCUGGACAGCAGUAAGCACCACAGGUUUGGGCUGCAGGGGUGGCUUCCGGGCCGGCGGGGCUCUGCCUGAGGAAGCGAGGAGAAAGGGAGGGGACAGAGGGUCAGGCCCCAGGCUGCGGCCAGGGCCCCAGGGCUCAGAGUGCCCUCUCACCUGUGGAGCUUUCUGGGGCAGGACCCAUGCUGAUCUGGACAGCGCCAAGCGAGGGAGCAGGGGCAUCCCAGAGGAGGCAGCCUGGAGGGGACAGGGGCUCUGUCUUCACUUCAAGCACCUCGUCACCUGCACCAGCCUGCAUGGGGCAUCCACAGAAGUGUCAGGCUGAGGGGAACCCAUUGAGGAGGAGGGGGAGGAAGAGGAGAAUUGGCACGGGCAGCUCGGGCAAGGGGCACCCGCUCACCUGGCCGGGGGAGUCUGCCAAGAGCAGGGAUGCUUCAGAGUUGAUGGAGGAGGACGGGGAGGUGGGCUCCACCUUGGUCUGGAUAUCUGUGGGGUGGCAGGGAGGAGCAGGGCCGGACGUCAGGUGGACACAGAGGAGGAAGGGAAGGAGGUUCUGAGGGGCAAAGGAGAGCUGCUCUUUGCACUUUGCAGAGCUCAGGCGGCAGCAGGUGGAGGCCCUGCAGAGCCGCACUCCAUUCUGCUCCCGCUUCCUGCUACCUUCCCCUCCCUCUUGGUGGCUCCUCCAGAUUUUCUCACCAUUGCUGGUGUCCAGGGCUCGCCCUGUCCAUGUUCCUAACUCUGCUCCAUAGCUGAACUGAAAACCAAUGUGAAAAAACCCACACAGGCCAAGACUGAGUCAGGCUCACAUCUCACCACAAUGCACAGAGGAACGCUUUGGUCUAAGCACAACUCUCACCCAGACAACCUACAGUGCUUGUGUUAGUGCAUAACACUUUCAUCAGUGGGCUUUUUUUACUUUAUUUGCAUGAAAUAUCGUAACUAUGGCUCUAAAGAAAGUUGGUGAUACCAGCAGUAAAGCUAAAAUGAAAACUGUGGGGGCUGGAGAUUUAGCUCAGCAGCAUAAGCCCCUGCCUUGCAAACAGGAGGUCGUGAGUUCGAUCCCCAGUACUGAUAAGCAAAAAAAAAGAAAAACUGUGGCCAGGUGAGGUGGUGCACACCUGUGAUCCUAGCACUGGAGAGGCUGAGACAGGAGCAUCACCAGGAGUUUAAGGCCAGCCUGGGCUACACGGUGAGUUCAAGGACAGCCUGAACUACACAGUGAGACUCUGUCUCAAAAAACAAACAAAAUCAAAAGAAACCUAUGAGAACCACAAUAGUUUAAGAAAGAAAUCACUGUGAGAUCUGUUAAAAUACUGGGAAAAAACGAGUUUAUAAGUGUACUUCUUGGUCCUCAAAGAUGAUUUUUCUAUUAUUUCUUAUGGAACUCAAGGAGAUCUUGGAGUGAAGUAUCCCAAAUUCUAAAGGAAAACAACAACUUACAAUCUUAUGGGAAAAAUAUAUCCAAUUCUUGAACUUCUCAGUGUUUAACCACGAAUUUGGAAGGAACUGAGUUCAACAACCAAGGUAUCACUGUACUUUGUCUGAAAGUUAUUUUAAAUAUACAAACUAAUGGUGAGCUUAAUGACACACAGGAUGCUAGAACAAGAAACAGUCAUCUCUGUCCAGUGUUGCCCUUGGUGUGGUUUCUGAAAAUUCUCCCUUUCCUUCAGGGCUUCUCUCUAGUCAUCUGCCCCCUUCUCCAUGCACUGUCCUCCCCAUCCUACUGCCUGCACCCCUGCUCCAAAUAUGCACGCAAGGAGGCAAAGCCCAGGAUCGUGUUGGGUGGUCAUUACCAGAGGGAUCAUCAGUGGAGGAGCCCACAGUGAUCUGGACGAUUUCAAAUGGGGGUGUCGGGUCAUCUCUCAAGAGGCAGAGUGGAGGCGCUAAGGACUCUGUCUUCACAUGCAGUACCUCUCCUACUCCUGGGGCCUGGUGACAGGAUGCAGGGAUGCAGAAAGAAGGAAAAAAACAAGAGACACCCUGAGAGUAAGAGCAAGAAGAGCUUUAAAGCUUGCAAAACACCAAGUACCUGACCUGUCUGAGAGGUACUGACCAUCACCCUAGGCCUCAGCUCUUUCUUCCUACUUCAUUCCUAGGGGGACUGACGAACACUCAUGAUUUUUUACACUGAACACCUUCAGCAAGAAUAGUAGCAGAAAGCUAGCUUAUGGCACACACCCGUGAUCCCAGCACUCGGGAGGCUGAGGCAGAAGGACCUUUGAAAAAUUUGAGGCCAGCCUGGACUACAAAGUGAGCUCAAGGCCGGCCUGAACUGCAUAGUGAGACCCUGUCUCAAAAUAAAUAAAUAAAUGAACAGUAGCAGAA